rnacentral:rRNA from 1 species
AAUUGUGGCCAUACAGUCUUGUUAAAGCCUGAUCUCGUCAGAUCUCAGAAGCUGAGCAAUGCUGGGCUUGGCUAGUACUUGGGAUGGGAGAGCAUUGGGAAGAGCAGGUGGCCACAGUGG